rnacentral:lncRNA from 1 species
ACAGAGUUGUGUAAGCAGAUGGGUGAGCAGAGUGAUCACGCUCUUAACCAUGACCUGGUUAAGAUGAUCCUUACCUUCCCCUUGUUUCUCCUAUAACUUGGUUCCAAACUCUGAGGGCUGCUCCAAAAACAAUGCCUCCUGUUUCAUUAUGUUGGCCCACCACAUCAGAGGUUGAUGUUGGUGCGAUGGCAGUAGUGGUUGAGUGUUCCUAUCAGAAUUCCAUUCAAUUUUGUUGCUGGUGACAGACAGCAGCAGAGGGGCAGUCUGACACAAUGGCAUCUGACACAGAAGUGUGUCUGAAGCAAAGGUGUGUCACUGAAUUUAUCUGUGUGGAAAAAAUGACACCUAUUGACAUUCAUCAGUGCUUGCUGAACGUUAAUGGAGACCAAACAGUGGCUGUGAGCACAGUGAGGCAGUGGGUGAUGCAUUUCAGUGGCUGUGCAUCCCCUCUGCUGAUGCAGAUGUUUACAAGCAUGGCAUGCAGACUUUUGUUCAUUGCUGGCAAAAGCAGAGCUGAUGGUGGUGGCUAUGUUGACAAAUAGUGUUUUGUAGCUGAGAAUUUGCUCUAUCCAACAGUGUUUGCAUGCUCUUGACACUCUUUGUAUCUGUUGUAGUUUCCAUGGAAACACCUAGGAGGCGUUACUUUUGGAGUGACCUAUGUCAUCAGUGACACACAUUAACCUUCACAUUAACUAGAAGGGCAUUUCAGGAGUAUAUUAACUUUCAGUGAUGUGUAGUUUCUACAAUGAGGUUAUUUGCUGAAGCACAUCUGCAGUUCCUAGUUUCCCACGGAUCCACGUAUGAAAAUGAAGUGAGAAAAAUUUCAAUUAAGAAGAAAACAGAUGACCAUUUGGGAAACAGACAAAGGGGUGGUAGCGAAAAUCAGGGAUACGUUCCAGAGGAACCACAUUACACAGGACAAAUCCCAACAGUUGUUUCUCUUCCUCCAAUGUCUACAAAGUUCACUGUCCCUCAUCCAGAUUUACAUACCAGUUCUGCACCAAAGGGACGACCUCAAAGACAUACUGAUUAUCCAAUCAACCCAAAGAAAAUUAGAAAUGUGACACAUGUUUAGGAUGGACUUCUGAAAAUUCUUACCUGACUUGCAUUUUACGGGUUUGAAUGGCUUCCUGCGACAGGGAAAGGUCACCACCAGUUCUCUCAAUUUAAGCUAUAAGUUGUUAUUGUUUCUGUUUAUUUCUCUUGUUAUGAAAUAAAAUUGCAACCUUUGCAAUGUAGUAUAUGAUA